rnacentral:rRNA from 1 species
GGGGGCACCCUGGCGGCGAGCGGCGAACGGGUGAGUAAUACAUCGGAACGUACCCAGGAGUGGGGGAUAACACAUCGAAAGAUGUGCUAAUACCGCAUACGCCCUGAGGGGGAAAGCGGGGGAUCGCAAGACCUCGCGCUGUUGGAGCGGCCGAUGUCGGAUUAGCUAGUUGGUAGGGUAAAGGCCUACCAAGGCGACGAUCCGUAGCUGGUCUGAGAGGAUGAUCAGCCACACUGGGACUGAGACACGGCCCAGACUCCUACGGGAGGCAGCAGUGGGGAAUUUUGGACAAUGGGGGCAACCCUGAUCCAGCCAUUCCGCGUGAGUGAAGAAGGCCUUCGGGUUGUAAAGCUCUUUCGGCAGGAACGAAACGGCGGGCUCUAACAUGGCCUGUCAAUGACGGUACCUGAAGAAGAAGCACCGGCUAACUACGUGCCAGCAGCCGCGGUAAUACGUAGGGUGCGAGCGUUAAUCGGAAUUACUGGGCGUAAAGCGUGCGCAGGCGGUUUUGUAAGACAGCUGUGAAAUCCCCGGGCUUAACCUGGGAACUGCGGUUGUGACUGCAAGACUAGAGUGCGGCAGAGGGGGGUGGAAUUCCACGUGUAGCAGUGAAAUGCGUAGAGAUGUGGAGGAACACCGAUGGCGAAGGCAGCCCCCUGGGUUGACACUGACGCUCAUGCACGAAAGCGUGGGUAGCAAACAGGAUUAGAUACCCUGGUAGUCCACGCCCUAAACGAUGCCAACUAGGUGUUGGGGAAGGAGACUUCCUUAGUACCGUAGCUAACGCGUGAAGUUGGCCGCCUGGGGAGUACGGUCGCAAGAUUAAAACUCAAAGGAAUUGACGGGGACCCGCACAAGCGGUGGAUGAUGUGGAUUAAUUCGAUGC